rnacentral:tRNA from 2 species
GCUGCAGUAGCUCAGUCGGUAGAGCACAUCCUUGGUAAGGAUGAGGUCAUCGGUUCAAUCCCGAUCUGCAGCUCCA